rnacentral:rRNA from 1 species
UACGUAGGGUGCGAGCGUUAAUCGGAAUUACUGGGCGUAAAGCGUGCGCAGGCGGCGCCGCAAGUCAGGCGUGAAAUCCCCGAGCUUAACUUGGGAAUGGCGCUUGAAACUACGGUGCUGGAGUGUGGCAGAGGGAGGUGGAAUUCCACGUGUAGCGGUGAAAUGCGUAGAGAUGUGGAAGAACACCAGUGGCGAAGGCGGCUCACUGGACCGGUAUUGACGCUGAGGUGCGAAAGCGUGGGGGAGCAAACAGG